ACCCGCACAAGCAGCGGAGCGUGUGGUUUAAUUCGUUGUUACACGAAGAACCUUACCAGGGUUUGACAUGCAAGUGGUAGGAAACCGAAAGGUGACCGACCCUUCGGGGAGCUUGCACAGGUGCUGCAUGGCUGUCGUCAGCUCGUGUCGUGAGAUGUUCGGUUAAGUCCGCUAACGAGCGCAACCCUCGCUGUGUGUUAUAUGUGUCACACGGGACCGCCGGUCUUAAGCCGGAGGAAGGUGGGGAUGACGUCAAGUCAGCAUGGCCUUUAUAUCCUGGGCUACACACACGCUACAAUGGCCAACACAAUAGGUCGCUAAGCCGCGAGGUGGAGCCAAUCCAUAAAGUUGGUCUCAGUUCAGAUUGCAGGCUGCAACCCGCCUGCAUGAAGAUGGAGUUGCUAGUAACCGCAGGUCAGCUAUACUGCGGUGAAUACGUUCCCGGGGCUU
rnacentral:rRNA from 1 species